rnacentral:lncRNA from 1 species
AAAGGACUAAGACAGAACCUGAGGAACUACAACAUUUAGAGAUUAAGCAAAAAAGUAAGGCAAUACAAAGAAAAAUUAAAAGCAGAAGCUCAGAAAAUGAGAGGAAAAUCAGGACUGGUGUCAUAAAAGCCCUAAAGGAAAUAGUCUUUUGAGGAAGAGGUGGCCAAAGAGGACAAACCCUACUGGGAGUAACAUGCAGCCGAGGACCCACUGGAUUUGGCAGGAGAGAAGACCACUGACAAACUUGUUAAGGGAAGUUCCAUCAAGGUAGUAGAGAUGGAGGCCUAUUAUAGUGUACUGAAGAGUGAAAGGGGAAAUACUCUCUUGUAUAUUUCACUUUUUUCUUUGUGAACUUUUGCUGUAAAGAAAAUAGAACAUGACAGUAGCUGGAAGGGGAUGUGGAAUCAAAAGUUUUUAAGGUGAACAAUAUUUGAGAAUAUGUUGAUGGAAAGGAUUCAACAGAGUGGAAGAGACGGGCAAUGCAGAAUAGAAAGAGGGUAAUCAAAGAACUAGCAUUCAUGAGAAAUGAGAAUGAAACUGAGCAUAGCUGAGCAGCUGGUCCUUGGAAGGAAGAGAGAUUGUAACUGUAGGGAGGGAGGAGAAGAAACAUCCAGAGGAAGGAAGGGUUAUAGAUUAACAGUGGGGAAAGGAGGAGCUACCCUUUAUUGGCUUCAUUUUCUCACUGAAAUCAGGCAAGGGCAUCAAAUGAAUGUUAGGACUGUGGAAGGAGGCAGAGUGCUUGAGAAGAGCAAAAAUAUAAAACGGUUGUCUUGAAAAUGUAGGAAGUAAACUACCCAAGUAAUCGGUCGUAAUGUUCAUCAGUGUUGAGUGCCCAAUUGGGACUCAAGAUUUGUGAUUACAGUGUUAAAGUGAAGUAGACUCUUAAUUGUGUAAUUUUCCUCUAGGAGUGGGCACAGAGGAGACAGUUAGAUUCAGCCAGAGUUGGAACUUUGUCAUGUGAAAGAGGGGCAAAGGGGUUGAGACUUUUGUAAAGGAAUUAUUAAAAUGAUAGGCCCAGGAAAACUUGACGAGGUGGGUCAAUGGCUUAGAAAUCAAGCAUCAUGCAAGGUGAUAGGGAUAUAAUAGAAAGGAGACAUAGCAUCUGCUUCAUAAGGCUUAUACCAGAGAUAGAGGCAAUCCAAUAAUUAGGCAAAUGUAUACUUAUGAAAUGUGCCAAAUGUUGUAAAAUAAAGUAUUAGUGGCUAUUAGAUUUUGUAACAAAUAAUCUGCCUUCAUUAAGGGGGAGAGAGAGUCAGGGAAGCUUUCCCUGAGGAAAGGAUGUUUGAGAUGAGAUCUUGAAGGAUGAAUAGGAGUUAACUUGGACUGUGGUGUAGGGCUAGGAGAGAUGGGGAUUAUGUUACAGGCAGAAGGACCUGCAUAUGCAAAAUUGCUGGGUUUAAAGGGAUCUUGUCCUUUGGAA